rnacentral:tRNA from 1 species
UGGUUCAGUGGUAGAAUUCUUGCCUUCUAUGCAGGAGAUUCAGGUUCAUUUCCUGG